rnacentral:rRNA from 1 species
UACAGAGGGUGCAAGCGUUAAUCGGAAUUACUGGGCGUAAAGCGUACGCAGGCGGUUUUGUAAGUCAGAUGUGAAAUCCCCGGGCUUAACCUGGGAACUGCGUUUGAAACUACAAGGCUAGAGUGUGGCAGAGGGGGGUGGAAUUCCACGUGUAGCAGUGAAAUGCGUAGAGAUGUGGAGGAACACCGAUGGCGAAGGCAGCCCCCUGGGUUAACACUGACGCUCAGGCACGAAAGCGUGGGGAGCAAACAGG